rnacentral:rRNA from 1 species
AUGAUGAAAAUAUGCAUCUAUGUUUACUUCCCUUAUACAGCCCCUCUUUUAGGUGCAUGGGGCAUCCGUUACACAUGGGGCAGCUUUUUUUUGGGUGCAUGGGUCAUCCGUAACACAUGGCGCGGCCUUUUUUUUACGUGCAUGCAUGGGGCAGCCGUUUCUAGAUGUGCGGAGAUUAGUAUUUGCGUUUAUAGUGAGCAGUGGUCUGGUCUGCCUUCCGAAUUUAUUUUAUUUUUUGAGAAACCCCGCUCCUCCUAUAAUACAGAAGUUUCCUAUGUUUGCACACAAUCACAAGCCAUAUCAGUUGGUUAG